rnacentral:rRNA from 1 species
AUGGAUGGAAAUGUAGCAGCUGAUGGGGGUGAGCCCCCCUAUGACCCAAUGAAAGAUCCAACAAGGAAGCCACAACGGUCAAAUGAUCCGGGAUGGAACUAUGGAUAUUGGUCUAAGCCUCCAAAUCGGGAUCUUGUUGUGUGCGCUCUUUGUGGCAAGAUAACUUCUGGAGGGAUCAAGAGGCAUAAGGAGCAUCUUGCGGGCAUCAGGGGAGAUGCAAUUGGUUGUCCUAAGGCCACCACACAACUGAGGAGAGAAAUAAAAGCAUAUUUGGAGCAAAACAGGAGGAUCAAGGGAGUAGUAGAUGUAGAUGAUGAUCAGGUUGUGGAGGUGAGUUCAGUUGGAGCAAACAUCGCCUCUAAAAGGCCAAGCUCAGGGACAGCAGCCAAACAGAAUAAGAAAGCGUUUAUCGUCAACAUGCAAGGUAAAAAGAAGUUUGUUGCUGCUGCCGCCAAUAGUUCCAAGCCAAUUGUUGCCAUGUUAUGA